AUCCAGCUGACGAGUCCUAAAUAAGACGAAACGCGCGUUCUGGAU
rnacentral:hammerhead_ribozyme from 1 species